ACGCAUCCACAUACAUCCACUCACUUCCAUCUCUAGAGCCACCCAAAAGUAUUCUACUCCUAAUCCAGGAGAGAAUAGCCAAAAAAACAUUUCUAUUUUUCCCUGUGAAAUAAAUGCUUGAGUUAUCUUGGUUUCUACCACUCGCUAUAUUAUUUCAGGAGAUGAGUGCUCUAGUAAAAAAAGAGAGAAAGAGAAAGGAUACGAGGAAAUAAAACGGGGCAAGUGCCUGGAACCUCGAAGAAAAGAAAAAGUGAGACGAGAGGUAAAAAUGGACAAGUGUCCGAUAGUAGAAUUAGGGGUACAAGAUACCCACCUGAGAGGAAAGAAAAAAGAAAAUAUAGAGCAUCUCAUUCUCCUCAAAAAGCUUCAAAGUGCAAGAAAGGUAUGUAUCCCCUUAAAAGAGCAAAAGUAGAAUUAGACUUCCACCAUUGUUAUCACCAUCAUCACCAUACACCAUUCACUCGCCACACAUGCAUAUCUUGAUUUGUCUUAUUGACUUGUUCUUCUGGAUCCAUGGUUUGACUAUGCAAUAAAUGUCUUGUAAGUAUGUAUUAUCUGUCUCCCACCUAUGAGCUCCAGAUAUCAAAACCUUAUUAGAGUAGGGUGAGAGAGAAGGCAAUAUUACUAUGCCUCAUACCAAAAAUACCACAUACUUUGAGAGAAGGCAUAUACCAUUACUGCCUUGGAAAGGAUCCAGAAAUACCACAAAAGAGAGA
rnacentral:lncRNA from 1 species